AGCCGCAGCCAUUUAUCACCCUGCAGCCCAAAACCGGUUACUCAAUCAAGCUAAGCAAGACUAAGCCUGGUCAGUACCUGGAUGGGAGACCUCAUGUGAAAACUAGGUUGCUGUUGGAA
rnacentral:rRNA from 1 species